UACGGAGGAUGCGAGCGUUAUCCGGAUUUAUUGGGUUUGAAGGGUGCGUAGGCGGGAUGCCAAGUCAGCGGUAAAAAUGCGGUGCUCAACGCCGUCGAGCCGUUGAAACUGGCGUUCUUGAGUGGGCGAGAAGCAUGCGGAAUGCGUGGUGUAGCGGUGAAAUGCAUAGAUAUCACGCAGAACUCCGAUUGCGAAGGCAGCAUACCGGCGCCCUACUGACGCUGAGGCACGAAAGCGUGGGUAUCGAACAGG
rnacentral:rRNA from 1 species